ACCAUCCUAAGGUAGCGAAAUUCCUUGUCGGGUAAGUUCCGACCUGCACGAAUGGCGUAACGACUUCCCCGCUGUCUCAACCAUGAGCUCGGCGAAAUUGCAGUACGAGUAAAGAUGCUCGUUUCGCGCAGAAGGACGGAAAGACCCCGGGACCUUUACUAUAGCUUGGUAUUGGUGUUCGCUUGGACUUGUGUAGGAUAGGUGGGAGACUGUGAAGCUGCCGCGCCAGCGGUGGUGGAGUCGUCGUUGAAAUACCAUUCUGGUUCAAGCGGUCACCUCAACCUUGGCCCGUGAUCCGGGUUGGGGACAGUGCCUGGUGGGUAGUUUAACUGGGGCGGUUGCCUCCUAAAAUGUAACGGAGGCGCUCAAAGGUUCCCUCAGCCUGGUUGGUAAUCAGGUGGCGAGUGCAAGUGUACAAGGGAGCUUGACUGUGAGACCGACGGGUCGAGCAGGUGCGAAAGCAGGAACUAGUGAUCCGGCCAUGGCACGUGGGUGCGUGGUCGCUCAACGGAUAAAAGGUACCCCGGGGAUAACAGGCUGAUCUUGCCCAAGAGUCCAUAUCGACGGCAUGGUUUGGCACCUCGAUGUCGGCUCGUCGCAUCCUGGGGCUGGAGUCGGUCCCAAGGGUUGGGCUGUUCGCCCAUUAAAGCGGUACGCGAGCUGGGUUCAGAACGUCGUGAGACAGUUCGGUCCCUAUCCUCUGUGCGCGCAGGAAAUUUGAGAAGGGCCGUCCCUAGUACGAGAGGACCGGGAUGGACGAACCUCUGGUGUGCCAGUUGUACCGCCAGGUGCAUGGCUGGUUAGCUACGUUCGGAAGGGAUAACCGCUGAAAGCAUCUAAGCGGGAAGCCUGCUUCAAGAUGAGAUUUCCACGCCCCCCAGUGGGGUGAGAGGCCCCCGCCAGACUAGCGGGUUGAUAGGCCAGAGGUGGAAGCACAGCAAUGUGCUCGUGAGCCGACUGGUACUAAUGGGCCAACACUAAACAAC
rnacentral:rRNA from 1 species